rnacentral:rRNA from 1 species
UACGUAGGGGGCGAGCGUUGUCCGGAAUUAUUGGGCGUAAAGAGCGCGUAGGCGGUCCGAUAAGUCGGCUGUGAAAGUCAGGGGCUCAACCCCUGAAUGCCGGCCGAUACUGUCGGGCUAGAGUCCGGAAGAGGCGAGUGGAAUUCCCGGUGUAGCGGUGAAAUGCGCAGAUAUCGGGAGGAACACCAAUGGCGAAGGCAGCUCGCUGGGACGGUACUGACGCUGAGACGCGAAAGCGUGGGGAGCGAACAGG